UACGGAGGGUGCGAGCGUUGUCCGGAAUCUCUGGGCGUAAAGGGCGCGUAGGCGGCCUGAUAAGUAGGGGGUGAAAUCCUGCGGCUUAACCGCAGGGCUGCCUUCUAAACUGUCAGGCUCGAGCACAGUAGAGGCAGGUGGAAUUCCCGGUGUAGCGGUGGAAUGCGUAGAGAUCGGGAAGAACAUCAGUGGCGAAGGCGGCCUGCUGGGCUGUUGCUGACGCUGAGGCGCGACAGCGUGGGGAGCAAACAGG
rnacentral:rRNA from 1 species